AUUGAACGCUGGCGGCAGGCCUAACACAUGCAAGUCGAGCGAGCGGCGGACGGGUGAGUAAUGCAUGGGGACUGCCCGAUAGAGGGGGAUAACUACUGGAAAAGGUGGCUAAUACCGCAUACUAUCGGAUAACCCAUAUGGGAUUAGCUAGUAGGUGGGGUAAAGGCUCCCCUAGGCGACGAUCUCUAGCUGGUCUGAGAGGAUGAUCAGCCACACUGGGACUGUGACACGGCCCCGACGCCUCCGGAGUCCGCAGUGGGGAAUAUUGCACAAUGGGCGCAAGCCUGAUGCAGCCCUGCCGCGUGUAUUGAGAAGGCCUUAGGGUUGUAAAGUACUUUCAGCGGGGAGGCGUUACCCGCAGAAGAAGCACCGGCUAACUCCGUGCCAGCAGCCGCGGUAAUUC
rnacentral:rRNA from 1 species